ACUAAGGUAUAAAUUAAUAGCACGACAGUGUGAGAUUUGUACCGGAUAGUAAAAACUGAACAUUAAUAUUAAACACCGCGACAGCUCUUUAAAAUUAAUUAAACUAUAUUAGUUUUCAAAAAGUAUUUUAUAAAUAGAUGUGAGAACGAGAGUGAAGCAUUCAUUUAUAUUAUAUAGUAUCAGUUCAAUAGCGCGACGGCGUGAGACUAUAUUUUUAAACUAAUGUUGUUUUGAGAAAACUAGAUCUUUUU
rnacentral:lncRNA from 1 species